UGAGGCAGGAGAAUUGCUUGAACCCAGGAAGUGGAGGUUGCAUUGAGCCGGGAUCGUGCCACUGCACUCCAGCCUGGGUGACAGAGCGAGACCCCAUCUC
rnacentral:miRNA from 1 species